rnacentral:rRNA from 1 species
CAGCUCCUCAAGUGGUCGGGAUGUUUAUUGGGCCUAAAGCAUUCGUAGCCGGCCCUGCAAGUUCCUGGUCAAAUCCAGCCGCUCAACGGUUGGGCUGCUGGGAAUACUACAGGGCUUGGGAGCGGGAGAGGCCGAGGGUACUCCUAGGGUAGGGGUGAAAUCCUGUGAUCCCGGGAGGACCACCAGUGGCGAAGGCGGUCGGCUAGAACGCGCUCGACGGUGAGGGACGAAAGCUGGGGGAGCGAACCGGAUUAGAAACCCGGGGUAGUCCCAGCUGUAAACGAUGCGGGCUAGGUGUUGGGGUGGCCCACGAGCCCACUUCAGUGCCGCAGCGAAGGCAUUAAGCCCGCCGCCUGGGGGAGUACGGCCGCAAGGCUG